rnacentral:rRNA from 1 species
UACAGAGGGGGCAAGCGUUGUUCGGAAUUACUGGGCGUAAAGGGCGCGUAGGCGGCCUUCUAAGUCGAACGUGAAAUCCCCGGGCUCAACCCGGGAACUGCGUCCGAUACUGGAAGGCUUGAAUCCGGGAGAGGGAUGCGGAAUUCCAGGUGUAGCGGUGAAAUGCGUAGAUAUCUGGAGGAAGACCAGUGGCGAAGGCGGGUCUCUGGACAGUUCCUGACACUGAGGCACGAAGGCCAGGGGAGCAACGGG